GUGGAUAUCUGGGGCUUCUCAACCUUUAUCAUGCAGAUUGUACCGAUAACCAAGUGAAAUAUCUAAAAGUAUUUCCAGCUGAAAAGCCUGUACAAUGUCCAGAUGAGCAUUUGGAGUGCAUCAAAUUAUGUUAAAACUGGCCAAGCGAGGAACCUCCAUGAGAUUUGGAAGGCAAAAUGGAGACAGCAUCCAAUGAACCCACACUGAGAUCCACUUCCAGACUUUGGCUGUGGACUUACAAAGAAGGAAGCUACGCAGAGGCUACAGCAUCCCAUAGACAUUUGAACAAAUUACUCCUUCCGGGUCAGACUUACCUGGCUGUGCCUGGCUGCUCAGGUGGGCUGGUGAGGCCUCAGGGUGGUGGGCUGGUGCCAUGCCAGGAAAUGCUUCUCGACUCUGCUACUGUUUGCCUGACAUCUCAGGGCUGACUGCAGCUACAGCGGCCUUUGCGAGUGGAAAUUCUCGCAGCUGAAUCCAUGCAUCAUCUCCACUCCUGCCACCACCGUCUCUUUGCUUCUGGGCCCACAGGGCAAGGAUGAAAGCGGCCGAUGAAAGAGACUGACUGGCAUACACAGAAAUUGCCAUCUUAUCCACCUGAUGACUGAGCCCUCUCUCCAGAGGGUGCUCUUUGGGAAAAGGCUGAAAAAUAUGAACUGAGAAGACUUAAAAGAAAAAUGGCUGUACGCUCGAUGUCUACCUUUCUGGGGAAAACCAAUCAGUGAUUGAGCACUAGGAGAGACACAAGGUGUGUUGGAAGUCCUAUUUGCUAUUUCCUACAAAGUGAACAUGAGCCACAACAUCCAGAGUUGCAAAACAUGGGUCAGAAACUUUGACGCUUGGACGCGAUGCUGUUCAGAGGGUCUGUUCAAACUGAAACAGAACUCAGGGCCAUGAAGGACACAGAUGAGAAAAUAGAGGCUCAAAGAAGUGAAACGCAUCACCCAAAGCUUUACAGCUGAGAAGCGGUGCAGGUGGAGUUUGAGCACCCGUCUGCUGAAUUGAGAGACUGGAUGCCUAAGGCAUUACUUGAAACUAGAAGACUGCUGAUACUCCUCUUCAUAGUACCAGUCAGAAAUCUCUUCUUUUCCUCUGUUCUGCCCAAUUAACCUCUAAUCCUCAUAUCUUACUGUUAACCUAAACGUUAAUGAAUCAGAAGGUCUUUUUUGUUUUGUUUGGCUAUGACUCAAGUUACGGGUAUGAAAUAAACUCUGUUGCC